AAACUGUGGUUUAGGAGGUUUACACUUGAGAAACACGAAGGAUUGCUAGUAGGAUUGUUCUUUCGUUUCUGUUUUAAUGCUGCUUGAAAACUAAUAUAGUCUGCUGGGGAAUGUGGAGAUCUGAUGCUGAAGGGAAAGCCUCCCAUGGCCAAAGUAACCAACCACACACACAGGAGCACAAAGAUGACAAUGAUAUAACUUUGCCCGAUUUAUGA